rnacentral:lncRNA from 1 species
CAAACCCUAACGCCCCUCCUCUUCCGGACCCUCGGUAGCCGCGGCUGGAGCUGCUCAGACCCGCCUCUCUCCCGCAUCACACGAGCUCACAACGCCCUCACCUCCUCCGCUGCCGAGCUCGGAUACCCUAACCCUAGCAUCGGCUUCUUCGCUACCACUGGGGACCCCAUUUCUCCCCCCCACCCCCCUCCCAAUCUCUCUUUUGUAGUAGUAGCAACAGCAGUGUAAGGGAUUCGAGAGAAGAGGAAAGUGGAGGUAGGAGACGACGAGAACCUAUUUAUAAAAAAAUUAAAAAAUAAAAAUCGAUCUGUUUAUAGUUUAAGAACUGCGGCUGUGAGAUGACACUUUAUAAAAGAAAGAGAGAGAGAGAGAGAGAGAGAGAGAGAGAGAGAGCACGGGGAUA